GGGAAAGGAGGAUUGAGUACGGUGGAGAGGGUCGUAGCCUUUGCAGAGAGGAUUGAGUGGGUGGAUAUAGUGUUAGGGAGCUUGGGAAGAGGUUUGGGGGCUGGAAAGGAGGAUUGAGUACGGCUAAGGAGGUUGUAGCCUUUGUAGAGAGGAUUGAGUGGGUGGAUAUAGUGUUUGGGAGCUUGGGAAGAGGUUUGGGGGCUGGAAAGGAGGAUUGAGUACGGCUGAGGAGGUUGUAGCCUUUGUAGAGAGGAUUGAGUGCUUGGAUGUAGUGUUAGGGAGCUUGGGAAGAGGUUUGGGGGCUGGAUAGGAGGAUUGAGUGGCCGGGAAGGGGAUUGUAGCCUUUGAAAAGAAGAGUGAGUGCUUGGGAAGAGGUUUGGGGUUUGGGAAGGAGGGUUGAGUGGCUGGGAAAAAUAUUGGGGUCGAGGGAGAGGGUUGGGAGGCUGGGUAAGAGAUUGAGCUGCUGUAUAUGGCAUUGAGAGGCUUGGGAAGGAGGAUUGAGUGGAUGGGAAGAGCGAUGGGAGGGCUAGAUGGAGGAGAAGGAAAGGAAAGGGACGAGGAAAAGAGAAUACAAUAGAGAGGAAAAUAGGAUAGGAAACAUAGGAGGGAAAAAGAUAAAUGAAGAGGAGAGGAAAAGGAUGAAAACAAAGAGACGAAAGGAAGAAGAAAAAGAGUAUUAAAGAGAAGAAGAGGAAAGAUAUGAGGAGGAAAAGAGAAUAGAGAAGGGAGAGGAAAAGAGGAAAUAGAAGAAGAAGACUGAGGAAAAGAGAAAUGAAGAGGAGAGGAAAGGGAGGAGGAAAAGAGAAUAGAGAAGGGAGAGAAAAAGGGGAAUAGGAGAAGGAGAAGACUGAGGAAAAGAGAAUUGAAGAGGACUGGAAAGGGAGGAGGAAAAGAGAAUAGAGAAGGGAGAGAAAAAGGGGAAUAGGAGAAGGAGAAAAUUGAGGAAAAGAGAAUUGAAGAGGAGAGGAAAGGGAGGAGGAAAAGAGAAUAGAGAAGGGAGAGAAAAAGGGGAAUAGGAGAAGGAGAAAAUUGAGGAAAAGAGAAUUGAAGAGGACUGGAAAGGGAGGAGGAAAAGAGAAUAGAGAAGGGAGAGAAAAAGGGGAAUAGGAGAAGGAGAAAAUUGAGGAAAAGAGAAUUGAAGAGGAGAGGAAAGGGAGGAGGAAAUGAGAAUAGAAAGUAGAGAGGAAUGGAUGGAGGAAAAACGAUUGGAAAAGGAAGAAGAGGAGGAGGAGGAGAAGACUGAGGAAAAGAGAAUUGAAGAGGACUGGAAAGGGAGGAGGAAAUGAGACUAGAAAGUAGAGAGGAAAGGAUGGAGGAAAAACGAUAGGAAAAGGAAGAAGAAGAAGAGGAGGAGGAGGAGGAGGAGGAGGAUAAUAACGACGGUUCUAUUUGCGUCUCGGUUCUAUGACAGCCUAAUGAGUUUAGUUAAUGCUAAUUAUUUUAAGAUGCAUGAAAACUGGCUUGAAAAAGGGAGGGAAUUAGGUAGAGUAUUUUUAGAAGGUAGUGACGUCAUCAAGAGAGAGAGAGAGAGAGAGAGAGAGAGAGAGAGAGAGAGAGAGAGAGAGAGAGAGAGAGAGAGAGAGAGAGAGAGAU